CCACUGCUUAGGAGUCCUACAAUAGGACGAAAUGGCCGUCCAGUGC
rnacentral:hammerhead_ribozyme from 1 species